rnacentral:rRNA from 1 species
UAGGGAAUCUUCCACAAUGGACGCAAGUCUGAUGGAGCAACGCCGCGUGAGUGAAGAAGGGUUUCGGCUCGUAAAGCUCUGUUGUUAAAGAAGGAACGUGGGUAAGAGUAACUGUUUACCCAGUGACGGUAUUUAACCAGAAAGCCACGGCUAACUACGUGCCAG